AUGGCGGACACUGCCACGUCAACCGGCGACGUGUGUGCCGCCCGCUCGAGUACGGCGGCCUCAGGGUCCAGGACCUGGAGCGUGCUGGCCUCGCGCUGCGCCUGCGCUGGAUGUGGUUCUCCCACACGGACGACGAGCGCGCAUGGCGAGGCCUCGACCUCCAGUUUUCCCGCGAGGAGCGCGCAUUGUUCUUCGCAUCGACGACAAUGGAGCUUGGCGAUGGACUGA
rnacentral:rRNA from 1 species